GCAAGUCGAACGAUAAGCUCUCUUCGGAGAGUGGACAGUGGCAGACGGGUGAGUAACGCGUAGCAACCUACCUAACACUUGGGAAUAACGUCGAGAAAUUGACGCUAAUACCUGAUACGCCCUUCGGGGGAAAGAUUUAUCGGUGAUAGAUGGGGCUGCGUUAGAUUAGCUAGAUGGUGAGGUAAAAGCUCACCAUGGCGACGAUCAGUAGCUGGUCUGAGAGGAUGGAC
rnacentral:rRNA from 1 species